GACGAACGCUGGCGGCGUGCUUAACACAUGCAAGUCGAACGGAAAGGCCUUUUCGGAGGUACUCGAGUGGCGAACGGGUGAGUAACACGUGGGUGAUCUGCCCUGCACUCUGGGAUAAGCCUGGGAAACUGGGUCUAAUACCGGAUAGGACCGCACUUUAGUGUGUGUGGUGGAAAGUUUUUUCGGUGUAGGAUGAGCCCGCGGCCUAUCAGCUUGUUGGUGGGGUAAUGGCCUACCAAGGCGGCGACGGGUAGCCGGACUGAGAGGUUGGUCGGCCACAUUGGGACUGAGAUACGGCCCAGACUCCGACGGGAGGCAGCAGUGGGGAAUAUUGCACAAUGGGCGCAAGCCUGAUGCAGCGACGCCGCGUGGGGGAGGACGGCCUUCGGGUUGUAAACUCCUUUCGCCAGGGACGAAGCGUUUUGUGACGGUACCUGGAGAAGAAGCACCGGCUAACUACGUG
rnacentral:rRNA from 1 species